CGUAAGGAGCGGCCUAGGGCGAAACUGGUAAUUGGGGCUAAGUCGUAACAAGGUAGCCGUACCGGAAGGUGCGGCUGGAACACCUCCUUU
rnacentral:rRNA from 1 species